GAAUUUGCUGGGUUUUCUCGCUCAAAUCCAUAUUAUGUUGUACAACAAGGAAAGAUAGCAUCCCUAACCUUGAUGAAAGACUCUGAGCGAUUGGAUUUACUGAAGGAAAUAGGUGGUACUAGAGUUUAUGAGGAGAGGCGUCGUGAAAGUUUGAAAAUAAUGCAGGAUACAGGCAA